UCAUCAUGACAGUAAAAUAGGGCAUUCUAAGUCAAUAUACUGCAGUAUUUCCUCUCUUAUUUCCUCAGUAGAAAAUAUGGGUAACACCCGGUAUAUGCAUGAAAAAAAAAAUACCGUCAUGUACCGUGAAACCGGUAUAAUUU